rnacentral:rRNA from 1 species
GAUGAACGCUGGCGGCGUGCCUAAUACAUGCAAGUCGAGCGAACAGACGAGGAGCUUGCUCCUCUGACGUUAGCGGCGGACGGGUGAGUAACACGUGGAUAACCUACCUAUAAGACUGGGAUAACUUCGGGAAACCGGAGCUAAUACCGGAUCAUAUAUUGAACCGCAUGGUUCAAUAGUGAAAGACGGUUUUGCUGUCACUUAUAGAUGGAUCCGCGCCGCAUUAGCUAGUUGGUAAGGUAACGGCUUACCAAGGCAACGAUGCGUAGCCGACCUGAGAGAGUGAUCGGCAACACUGGAACGAGGACACGGUCCAGACUCCUACGGGAGGCAGCGGUAGGGAAACUUCCGCAAUGGGCGAAAGCUUGACGAGGCAACGCGGCGUGAGUGAUGAAGGUCUUCGGAUCGUAAAACGCUGUUAUUAGGGAAGAACAAAUGUGUAAGUAACGAUGCACGUCUUGACGGUACCUAAUCAGAAAGCCACGGCUAACUACGU